rnacentral:lncRNA from 1 species
AUACUUUUAAAACCAAGAUCACGUACACACUUCAGUUCACAUAUGCAUUAUUCCUACAUUGGGAGUAAACACCAACAUAACCCAUACCCAUAGGAUAAAGCCCAUCAUAAAUGCCCUAAGUUCUUAUUAUCACCUCUCUGGUCAUUUAUUAUAUUCAAAGGAUACAUAUGGCUAUGCAAAAAUAUAAAAGAAAAAAGGGGGAGUAAAAGAUGGACAAGUGUCCUAGUAAUUUAAACAAUGGGUACUUGAUGCCCGCCUCCCUAAAUAAAAUAAAUAAAUAAAUAAUAAAGAUAGCCCAUGUCUUUUCUGAAAAGAUUCAAUAGAGUUAUUCCCAAAGAAAUAGAAAUUAGCCACAAAUACCACAAAUGCACCCAUCCACCAUAUUCCAUACACAUGCAAAUCUUGGUUUGAUUGUAUGCCUUGAUUCUCUAUGGAUCCAUUAGUUGAUUUUACAAUACAUGCAUUGCAAGUAUGC